rnacentral:rRNA from 1 species
AUGUGGGGGUGCCUAUCAAAACUAUUUAUUUCAAAUGCCCCAAACUUUUCUACUACAACAUUGUUUGUUCAUCGGUGGAUCUAUUUGGAUCUGUUCUUCGUUCGUUUUUGUUUAGAUGUUUACAGGUUUGGUUCUUCUGAUCUACGACUUUCUUCGUCGGCGAUGGUUGCUACUCCGGUGCGCUGGUCCUAUGGGGCCUUAGCACGACGACUUCCCGACUGUCUUCUACAACAAGGUUUGCCCGACUCUAGAAGGAAAUAUGCCCUAGAGGCAAUAAUAAAGUUAUUAUUUAUUUCCUUAUUUCAUGAUAAAUGUUUAUUAUUCAUGCUAGAAUUGUAUUAA